UUCCAUCUGACUAGUCCCAAAUAGGACGAAACGCGCGCCAAAAUGGAU
rnacentral:hammerhead_ribozyme from 1 species